AGAGUUUGAUCAUGGCUCAGGACGAACGCUGGCGGCGCGCCUAACACGUGCAAGUCGAACGAGCGAGAGAGAGCUUGCUUUCUCAAGCGAGUGGCGAACGGGUGAGUAACGCGUGAGGAACCUGCCUCAAAGAGGGGGACGACAGUUGGAAACGACUGCUAAUACCGCAUAAGCCCACGACCCGGCAUCGGGUAGAGGGAAAAGGAGCAAUCCGCUUUGAGAUGGCCUCGCGUCCGAUUAGCUAGUUGGUGAGGUAACGGCCCACCAAGGCGACGAUCGGUAGCCGGACUGAGAGGUUGAACGGCCACAUUGGGACUGAGACACGGCCCAGACUCCUACGGGAGGCAGCAGUGGGGAAUAUUGCACAAUGGGGGAAACCCUGAUGCAGCGACGCCGCGUGGAGGAAGAAGGUCUUCGGAUUGUAAACUCCUGUUGUUGAGGAAGAUAAUGACGGUACUCAACAAGGAAGUGACGGCUAACUACGUGCCAGCAGCCGCGGU
rnacentral:rRNA from 1 species